rnacentral:tRNA from 1 species
GGUCUCAUAGUAUAUCGGUUAGUAUAAAAGAUUGUCACUCUUUAGAGAGGGGUUCAACUCCCCUUGAGACCGCCA